rnacentral:rRNA from 1 species
UGGGGAAUAUUGCACAAUGGAGGGAACUCUGAUGCAGCGACGCCGCGUGAACGAAGAAGGCUUUCGAGUCGUAAAGUUCUUUUAUAUUGGAAGAUAAUGACGGUACCAUAAGAAAAAGCCCCGGCUAACUACGUGCCAGCAGCCGCGGUAAUACGCAGGGGGCUAGCGUUGUCCGGAAUCACUGGGCGUAAAGGGUUCGCAGGCGGAAAUGCAAGUCAGCUGUAAAAGGCAGUAGCUUAUCUACUGUAAGCAUUUGAAACUGCAUAUGUUGAGAAGAGUAGAGGUAAGUGGAAUUUGUCGUGUAGCCGUGAAAUGCGUAGAUAUUAAAAAGAAUACCGGUGGCGAAGGCGACUGACUAGGCACAUUCUGACGCAGAGUAACGACAGCGUAGCUAGCAAACAGG